CUUUUCUAGUCUAACUUGCCUGUGCCUUUCUGCUUAUUUUUUUAGUACUUGGUCAAUUCUGCUGUAAAAAUAAUGGAUUGUCCAGAAAUACAGUUUGAGAAGGAUCUCUUGGCUGUUCUGUACUGUUUUUAUCUGAAUUUCCCAAUCCAGCAGUUUGAACAUUCUGAAAGCAAGUUUUGUACUGGCUUCACUGAGGACUGCUUUCUGAAUAGAUCAGGAUUCUGCUGGGAAUGAUGAACCAACUUGUUUGAAACAAAGCAACUUCAUUUUAAUAUAAAACAUGUUUGUGUAUGUAUAUAUGAAAGUG